UACAGAGGUCUCAAGCGUUGUUCGGAUUCAUUGGGCGUAAAGGGUGCGUAGGUGGCGAGGUUAGUCAGGUGUGAAAUCUCGGGGCUCAACCCCGAAACUGCACUUGAUACUGCCUUGCUAGAGUACUGGAGAGGAGAUUGGAAUUUACGGUGUAGCAGUGAAAUGCGUAGAUAUCGUAAGGAAGACCAGUGGCGAAGGCGGGUCUCUAGACAGUUCCUGACGCUGAGGCACGAAAGCCAGGGUAGCAAACGGG
rnacentral:rRNA from 1 species